GACAGAGGAUGCAAGCGUUAUCCGGAAUGAUUGGGCGUAAAGCGUCUGUAGGUGGCUUUUCAAGUCCGCCGUCAAAUCCCAGGGCUCAACCCUGGACAGGCGGUGGAAACUGCCAAGCUGGAGUACGGUAGGGGCAGAGGGAAUUUCCGGUGGAGCGGUGAAAUGCGUAGAUAUCGAGAGGAACACCUGCGGCGAAGGCGGGUUGCUGUGCUGACACUGACGCUGAUGCGCGAAAGCCAGGGGAGCGAACGGG
rnacentral:rRNA from 1 species